UCACAUUGGUUCCAUUCUACAACUGCCC
rnacentral:piRNA from 1 species